GCUGUAAUUUAAAGGUUGAAAAAUCUUGCAUCAUCCUUGAAAUAUAAAACCAUAGAUGCCCAGUUUCCCAACAGUGUGUUUUACAAAGCUCCUGGCCAACUCCUUAAGUAAGCCCUUACACAGUCCUGUUUAGUCCUUUUGAAGGGAAAUUAUCUAAUUCAAUGUAUCUGUUUUAUUUCAUAUGAAUUUGUCAAUAUAAGUAGAGAUAAAUUAAAAACUAAGAAUGCAUCUCUCUUGUUAUGUUUGAUUACUGAAUCAGUGGAAAAUGAAUCUUCUUCAUGACAAAGUAAUUUCCCUUUCACAUGUCUUACCUAGUGCUAUAUUACCGCAGGUCUCUAGCCUCUAUAGCCUGUGGGUUUAUACCAGAGGUGAGAUGCUAUAGGACUCUAACCCUCUGCAAUAAUUGUGAGGUUUUUAAUUCUUUCUGAAAUGUCAUUUAAAUCCUAUUAGAGAGAGAGGUCCAGCUACAAAAUUGAGUCACACAUCUCAAUUCUUGAUAAAUGAUCUUGAUGUGAUUACACUUGGAAUUCAAUCUCUUAAGCAAUUUUUGUUGCAAGUGAAAUAAAUUUGCUGUAGCAAUUUCAUUAACCACAAAUAAAGGAGUGUUGAUUAUUGUUUUCAUUAUGUUACAGUACUAUGUUUAUACCAAGAAAACUCACAAGUGAGUUUCCAGAAGUACAACGGACUUGAGAUGAGCAGAUGAGGUCUAGUUCCAGCUCCUUGUAUUGCAGACACACUAUUUCAGUCUGAUGUGGAGCAGAGUGGUUCCUUCAGGGGGAUGAGGGAUACAACUGAGAAGUAGUUUGCACUAUAGUCCACAUUAUAUAGAAUGGACAUAGGCCUGUCUAUAUGUCAUCCCUGCAAGAUAGGAGUCUUCGUUCUUUGAUGGGGGGAAAAGAAAAUCCCAAGCUCUGUCAUAAUCAGCUGGCUUAUCUCCAAUAAUUCCAAACUAAUUUAAGCAGUCAAGAACUGGGUGUUAACUUCUCUUAUAUGUCAGGAGAAUAGGUAAGAAAAUAAAACAAAACUAAUCAGUCAAACUGUAGCAGAUCUUUACUCUGUAACAGUGGGAGGAGAGAGUGAGAUCAGUGGCUCUGCAAAGGUGAAGUGACCAGCUGACUUCUUUGUCUGCUAGCCUGCAUGUUCUCCACUAGCAAAGCAGGAGGCAAGAUAUUUCUACCUGCUACUUUGUGAAUAAGGGGCUUUCCCAUGCAGUCACUCUGCACAAUGAAGCUGUGUCCUGGUGACAGUCCUCCCGAGGACAGUUUAUGCCUCCAUAAUUUCAUUUCUUCUUGCAUCACACCUGUGGAAAGAAACAGCUUAGUUAAUGACAAGAGUGAUGCAUAGCUUUAAUUCUCAUUGUUAUGAAUAUGAGCAGGGUCCCAUGAGAACACUGGAAGUAAUUACAUUAUAUUUUCUUCUGCCUUAGCUACUGGGGCUGGCUUUGUUCAUAGCAGAUUUUACAAGAAUUUCUUGCCAUCUUUAAGCCUGGCAUUUGCCCAUUCUGCCUUGAAAUAGUUUAGGAUGUGUCAUUUCAAUGCUGAAGAACAGACAAAGGCAUUUAUUGCUGAGCUACCUUCCAUGAAAGAAACAAUUCCUGAGCUACCUUCCAUGAAAGAAACAAUUCCCACCUCCUGGGAGUUUUCAAUUUUUUCUGUUAGUAUUAAAGUAUCACGUCCACACUGCAUUGUAAUGGAUUACUUGGUUUUGUAAUUUCUUUAUUUAAGAACAAAAGUAGUCUAUUUCAAUUUAUAUAUAAUAUGUAUUUCUAUAAUUUGAGUUUAGUCUUCUUUAGAGUCAUAGAAGGCAGAGUACAGUAGGUUAACACAAAACACUAUGAACUGAAUUCUGAAAGUACAAGUCACAUGCUUCUAUAUAUUGUGUGUAGGAAGAUAAGAUUUCCUUUUCCAUGUGCCAAAUAGGCUUCUAUUUAAAACAUAGUAAUGCAAAAAUGUGUUAUUAGUCAAAAUCCAGCUAGUUUUUAGAUUGUUAAUCUAAAACCAAUCUAAAAUAAUUAAUCUAAAUAAAACAAUGAAAGAGAAGUUGUGCCUACUUGUAACUGAAAAUCUGUUGUGAUUUCCUCAGUACUUUGAGGAAACACCAGUCAAUAAGAGUUGUUCAAUAGUUCCUUUCAUUCCAACUGAAAAAGAAAGCAUUUCUAAGUAUCUCCAGUUAGAAACUGCAGAGGGGGGCUUAAUACACAGUAGUUACUCUGAACCAAGAUUAAAAUGUUGCUUGAUAGCUCCUGGCUUUUUUAGUAGCAAUUAUUCUGAGUGCAUGAUAAUACUUGUUAGUGACUGCAAGUGCUUUAAGCUCUCGACUCCUUGAUAUGUUCUUGAACUUAUGCCAUUUUGCAAGGGGCACUGACUCAAAGGUUUUGAUGGGGUGAUGGAGGACUGACAUAAAAUUAACAUGUCCUGAAUUACUAUCCAAGAAUUACAGACUUGCAGACUGUGUAUGUUUUUAGAGUUACACUCAUCACUGACACUAAAUACAGUUUUGUCUUAUUAAAAUGCUGUUAGAACUGCUGCUUAAUGAUACGCUAUGAUUUUAUGAUCAAGUAUGCUAAAAAUUCUAAGAAAUUUUUAGUUAUGGACUAAUUCAAUAGGAAAGGAUUGUGUCAACCUAAUAUAUUAAUGCAUAAGUGGUAUUUUCAGUACUGUCCAUGGAUUAUUGUCUCACACUGCUCUAUUUGAUUGUAUAAUAUAAUUGUAGUUUAUGCUAUCCAAGACUCACAAUAAAGUCAUUAAGUCCAUCAGUCUAUUUAAAUAACUUAAGACAUAUAAGAUAAAAUACUUUUGAACUUCUUGAAGUAUCUUACAAGCAGCUCUGCAUCUAAGGUGUUUACAUUUUAAUCAAGUACUGUCAAACUUUUUGACAACUAAGGGAGACACUACUCCUGUUUGCUCAGAGGUCCAAUGGCAAAUAAAUUUUACAGUGUUAAAGGAUGAUGGAAAACAAUCUGAGAACCAUUUGAGCGUUCUUCCAUGCUCUGACAGUUUGAUGGCCUAAUUUGAGUAAUGAACAAAUUUUUAAUUCCCUGUAUAUUCUGCAAAUACUUGUGCAGCAGAUUUAGCUUGGCUGCAAAGAUCUAAUUUUCUGUUAUCUAUUAUCUAAAUAAUAAAUCUAUAGUACACUGUCUGAUAAUUUAUG